CCCCUGUGAUGAGUUGCCAUGCUAAUUCUGAGACACCACGGUAGGGAGUUUUACCCUGCACUGGGUGUUGUUAAGAUAAACUCUCCUUCUCAUAAAUCUACCUGAGGGGC
rnacentral:snoRNA from 1 species